AGAGUUUGAUCAUGGCUCAGGAUGAACGCUAGCUACAGGCUUAACACAUGCAAGUCGAGGGGAAACGACAUCGAAAGCUUGCUUUUGAUGGGCGUCGACCGGCGCACGGGUGAGUAACGCGUAUCCAACCUGCCCACCACUUGGGGAUAACCUUGCGAAAGUAAGACUAAUACCCAAUGAUAUCUCUAGAAGACAUCUGAAAGAGAUUAAAGAUUUAUCGGUGAUGGAUGGGGAUGCGUCUGAUUAGCUUGUUGGCGGGGUAACGGCCCACAAGGCGACGAUCGAGUAGGGGUUCUGAGAGGAAGGUCCCCCANAUUGGAACUGAGACACGGUCCAAACUCCUACGGGAGGCA
rnacentral:rRNA from 1 species